UUUGGCGGGACGAGACUCACUCGACGGUGGGAAGUGACGCCGUACUGUGGCGCCGUGCAGUGGUGAAACUAUUGUAACAACAGCGUUGGAACGCGGGAGUGCACAAGCCCCGCCACUACCCUUGCUUUCCCCUUCAAUGAGGGUGCACCCACCCCUCUGUGUUCCAUUCGAGAUUUAUUCGAACUGCUAUCGCAGUUGCACCAAUAAAUAUCGGUGCAGCGUUUGCGCUUGUACGAAUACCCAGUCCGCACACAUUGUUGAGGUUAUGUUUGUGUGGGAGUCAACGGAGUCGCGGCGGUGGGAUAUCGCCGAUAGAGAGAAUUAUUGGAAAUAUUGGUGAUUUCAACGGUCUGAUCGGAGAGACAGGGUCUUCAUGGUGAGCAUAUCAUAACUGGCCUGAUCGGAGAGACCGUCUUUAUGGGGAAGAUUAUUUCAUACGAAUUGUUGAAUAUCGCCGGAGGGAGCCACUGGGCAAAUCUCAGUUGUUGAUUGUGUCGAGUAUCGGAUCUACAGCAAUCAACAAGAUCGUAACCCUCAGCGUGAUCCCCCGGAGGAGUGAAUCUUGAGGACUUGGGUAAGAAAAGCGUAACAGUACGCUGGAGAAUAUAGCCGAAGGAUCACCUCAGAAGGAGAAGGGUUCGGGGCCCAUUACAAGCAUCAAAACUCCAUAUCAGCAGGUUCAAUCCGUCCCGACUCAUCAUCAAUAACCCAGUGUUUCACAAUUGCUAGUGGAGACCAGAGAUAGCACAACAUGAAGAGGGAGGAAUCAAGUGGAAUUAAUAAAGAAUUCAGUUUGAGAAUGUAUUUAGCCGGAAUAGAUUUGGCGGUCUUCGGCUUUGCAGUAUCGGGAUUCGAUUCAACGACACGUGACCUGAAGGGUUAUUACUGGGCUUAGGGAAUUCACCGUUGGGCGUGAACUGAGAACCCCUUGGUCAAAGUGGUGGCGAUAUAUCAGGGCGUUGGGUCAACAAUGUGUAAGCGGUCGUCCCAGGGUCUCUGGGCCGUCCCCCAAGUUCGCUCUCCGGUGACACUUUUGGAGUUUCUGCUCCUUGGACGUGGCGCACGUGCAGGAAGAGCACAUGGGAAAGAAAAUGCAGUGCCUUCAUCCUAAUCGUCCAUCCAAAGACACAUGGCCAAGAGUAUCGCCAGUCCAAAGCAGAAGGAAGGAAAGAGAAUGAAGAAACUACCACAGUAUAGAAUUAUCAAAAGAAUGACUCAUUAUAUGAACCUCUGGCUGCUAAAAUUCACAAGUUUUCUUCUCUAUCUCGCGCAUCCAGCAGAUUCUAUGCGUCAAAGCCCCGUCUCCAGAAGGACGAAGAGUAUAAAAAUUACCACCACGAUGGUUGACCUGUGGUUGAGAACCUGACCAUGUUCAGAGUUGAAUGAGAACAAAUUGCAAUUGGAUAUUCGGAUGCUGAAGAAGGCAUCUAGAGGUGUACGGUAUCAACAAGUUAUUGACGACCCGAGCUGUGCGGUGGCGAUACAUCGGAGAACAGGCAUAAAUUACGCCUCUGUUAGGUAUAGUUAUCACUAUCCUCCACCAGGGUCCUACCAUCCUCUCGCCCCCGAUGGUCAUUCCAACUUGCAAUAGGAAUAUCGAACGUAUAAGGAAUGUAACGAAGGAAAUAGAAGAGUUCUCCAGCCAUGAACAUGAUCAGGUUGUCCAGGGACAGCUACACGAAGGAGCUACACGCACUCCAGUGUCCGAUCAGUAGUGACCAAGAAAUUGCUUGCCAAUGGGAUUCACUUCUCCCCCCUCUGCCAUAUAUAUUGUGAACAGUAUCCGUAUAAGUAUCGUCUUCGCAUGGUUUCACGAGGUAUCCAUAAAUAUCUCAUUUUAUUUUGAAUGGGAAAACGAACGAGCCGAACCGAUGGCGAUCCGGUCUCGAGCUUCUCUAUCCUUUUUACCUGGACAACCGCCUAGUCCCAAUGGCAUUCAAAAUUCAUGAACCAAUGCGGGAGUGUAACAGAGAUAGAGGAAAACACGACCACCUCCUCGCGCGCUUCAGGUCUGCCACUAAAUCAGCGUUACUUUAUUAAGUAUUACCUUUAGUUAACAGAUACUUAAUCAAAAUGUGCACGCAGUACGCCACUAAUUUGACUUUGGCCCCCAUAAAUAUCCACCGCCCAUGUGUGGUUAGUGUGUGUGUGUGUGUGUAUACUCUUGGGCAAUGUCAAUGGAUAUAAAGAUGUCUGUGUGUGUUUCACAUUUGGUGAUGUGUUUGAAUAUGUCGAAUGGAAAUAUGUGAUGACUUGGGCCGAUAAAUGACUCUUGUAAUUAAAUUGGAAAUACGAAGGCGUUCAAAUACUUUGGAGCUUUACAUCUGUCGGGCCUCUGGCUUUAAAGCUUUACAGCGAUCUGAUGAUAAGCAGCAGUUAUUCCAUGGAAAUUCAAUGUUGCGUGGUUCACAUUUGGAACUUCAUCACAGCGAUUGUUGGAGCAGCUUCAGAUGUCUGUUCUGCCUCAUGAUUUAACAGGAUUAAAAAAAUGAAAACUCUUCAUAUACCCUGAGAAGUUGACCUUGACUUUUAUAGCUAUAUAAUGCUGUUAUCAUAAACAACAUCCAUUUCAUAGAUAAACAAUCACUCGCCACUACAAUAUCAAAACCUGAGUCCAACGAGCACUAACAGACUUCCGAUCCGAGAGUUUUUUAUUCUCAGCCCUUAAGUCUCGAUUUUUCCUCAGAUUUUCAAGGUGGAAAACACGGUAAAUUAGUUUGUCAAACAAUUGGCUGCUUUUAUACCCAGACUUUGCUCUUAAUUUUCUGACAUGCAGUUCGUUUUGUCGUUACACCCUGAGGUGGUUGCUUCUCCAAACGUACCAACCACCUCCCUUACCUCCAUCCAAAUGAUUUUCUCUCUUCAAGUACCACCUUUAUUCUCCCUUUAUUUUCUCUUUACUCUCGUUAGUCUUCUCGUUAUUGUACGUAGGGAGGCGGAAACAGUGGCAAAGCCACGAUGAGUGGGCUCGCGGUUCGGUAAACACUAAACACUCGUUAGCGCAUAGAUUGAAACGCAAUCUGUAUUUUGGAAACUGGGGCUACCUAACGCUCUUCGGUUGGAGUUUUCGGCUGCUGUGUGUGUGUGAGAGAGAGAGAGGGAGAGUGAAUGUGUAGGUAAAGGUAUAGAUAGGAUUCAGUGCUGGAGGUACAGGGAAACGGGACUUGACGGGAUAUAGGUGGAAACGGUGUAGGGUAGUUCCAGAAGCUCGGGAGUGCCCGGAGGGCCUGCCCCACUACUAAUUGAUUUGUGUUCGUGCUUCAGAAAUCUCCUUUCGCCACUGAAACACCAGGGGUAGGCAUUACUAGCAGUAUGCUUGGCCAACAAAUACCAAAGCUUCUCGAACUCUGUCCUUCAUCAAACUGGGCCUUUUCCAUUCACUGUUUGCCGGCUGGCGAGGAGACCUCAUAGACCAGCAGAGCUCUG